CAACCUUUAAAAAUGUAGUUAAUUCAUGUAAUAUAACAAGGUACCUUUUCUUGUGUUUGUACGGAACAUCGUUCAGAAAAAAUGUAGUGCACCUAUAGCAAUACGCGACUAAAAAAAAAAAAAACGUUGGUGAAGUGCCGCCAGUAUGUAAGCGGGGGGCCGGUUAAGUACGGAAAACUCGGUAGGCCGAAUCUGAUCGAUCCCCGACCCUGAUGGGUUACGACAAUUUGAUGGGCGAAAAAAAAUUUAAAAUUUUGAAUUUCGAAUAUCGGUUUACAAUAGACGCGAUGAGCACGGAAGAAAUUAACAUUACUCAUCUACACAAAAGUCCGUUAUUAGAUUAUUUUCGUCGUAAUCGUCAUGUUUCGAGUUGAAAAUGAAGUAUCGAUAUUAUGAUACUGACGUCUGGCUAUUGAUCCGGGCGAAAUAUCAUCAAUCGGAUCGAACAGCAAUAUACUAUUUUAGUAAAUAAUAUUUUGACGACAUUUGUGACUUAAAUA